AUAAUUUUACUCACAUAUCAGAAACUGAAAUGAAGUGAUAAAUUUGUUUAAAAUUAGUUUUAAAGCUGUACUCAUUAAAUCGGAUGGAGAUCAGUAUCUGUUUUUCAUCCCGCACCACCCUCGUACCUGGUGGCUGAAGAAAGGAAAAGAACGUGAAGCUGGUAAAAAGCAAAGCUCUUACCACACAUCACCCUUUCGAUCAAGCGAACGUCUUUAAAAUCCACCAGAAUACUAUACCUUCCUUGCUAGCAGAAGUUCAUAGAUAUCAGAAGAGUCAACUGAACCAGUUCAUCACAAGUAUCACAGACUGUAGCCUGCUGCACACCAGUAACUUACUGUAGAAGUAACUUACCUGGAGAAGAGAAGACACAUUCCCUCUCUCUCUUUCAGCCAAAUACACACACAGGAGGAUGGGUUGAGGGCUGUUCAUUUCAAAUUCAGCCACCUUUUCUGAUAGUUCAUCUGUUGCUUUAAGUUUUUCCCUGAUUCACAUUAUGAUCCAAUCUGUAAUUCCCCUAACCAUCUACUUCAUCAAAUUAAGGCGAGAACAGGGGAGAGGGGAGUAACAAGCAUAUUGUUUUGCUUUGUAAGCUCAAGUCAGAGGUUACACUGAAAUAGCUGGUGUCUCCACAUUCAGAGCUCAGUUGCACUUUUCCUGCAGAUUUCAUAUCUCUGGGAGUUGUUUCCCAGCUAAAUGGCUCGAGGACAAUGAAGACUGAUAAAUGUUUUGAUAAAGGAUUGGAAAGACCUUCAGAGUUUGCUUUGCUUCCUCUACUGCCUAGCAAAUGUUUAGGUUUUUCAGAUCUUCAGCUUUUAGUUUUAUAGGCAGUGCUUCAGUUCUGGAUUAAUAGUUUCUAGCCAUCAACUAAUAUUUUUUCUCCUAAAACAGAGGUUUGUUUAGCGAAACAACUAACUCUUAUCAGCUUGAUGACUCUGGCAUCAUCUUUAGGUGGUAUAAUACAGUUUAAUUCCAUAUCGGAUUUUAAAGUUUGUUGGAGCUUGCUUAGUUGUUCCUAUUUAUCUUUCUCUGGAAAGGAAAUGUUUUGUUUUGUUUUUUCUUGUCUCAUUUUGUCUUUGAGGAUUCCAGUCAGGUUGAAAUCCAGAAUAUUAAUUACCUUGUAUACCAUUACAUCAACAUGAUCUGGAGGAAACAGAUUUUUCUGGGUUUCCUCCUCCAAAUGAUGUGGGUUAGAGUCAGAUAAUUAAAUUGGAUAGCUGAGGAGUAGGGCCUCUCUAAGUGCAAACAGUUCCUCCUUUUCUAGUAAAAUAUUUUUAAUUUUGUGUUCUGAUAGUGCCAGAAUGAAUUGAUUAUUUUUCAUAUUUGACUUUUCCACACCAAGAACUUGGGUUUCUUCCACUUUGAGAUGGGGCAUCUGGUGGUCAAGGACUAGAAGGUGAAGUAGAGAGAGCCCUUAAGGAAAUAAAUCUGUUUUGGCAUCACCUGACUGGACACAGAAUCUGAAGGCUUCCCCCCAUAUUUAGAAUCAGGCUGGUAUUGGCUUAGUUUCAGCUGUUUAAUUCUAGAGAAAGGUAUCUGUCAGGUGACUAUAUAUAGAAAUAUUUGAAGAGUAAUUUUUCACCCAUGGGCUUGAGGCUGGUUAGAGUCCGAAGGAUGAAAUAUCAAAGUUCAAGCUCCUGUAGGAGAAGAAUAUGAAUCCGUUCCAGUUAAGAGUACAAAGGGUAAGGAGACAGAGAAUCCACCCAAGCUGUAGAAAAGCCUUGUUAGAAGGAUCUUCUCAGGGAUAGAGAAGCCUAUGAUGUUCUUGCACAUUACUUACUCUUUUAACACUCUGUACUUGCACCUUACUAUGGUGCUUCUGGUGCCAUUAAUUUGCAGACCACUAUAGCAUCCCAUAACCGGCCUAAAUUCUAAUCUGUUGACAAGCUGUCAGAUGGUGGAAAGCAGGGUAUGGCAGAUAGGAAUUUGCUUACAAAAAAAAAAAAAAAAAAAAAAAAAAAAAAAAAAAAAAGUUCUAGGCUUUUGGUCAGAAGAGAGAGAUGGGCAGAAUCCCUUUCUGGAUCCAGAGUUCUGGGUUUCUCUUGCAAUCGGUGAAUAUCGCUGUGAAGUUCCACUUCCCAUGCCAAAUCCAGAGGCUUAGAAAUUAUACACAGAAAAAUGGACUGCAGGAUUUUAUCCCAUACCAAGUGAUUGAUAACAACAGUGGCAAUUGCAGAGUAACAGAAAGAACGCAUGAACCUGAAACCAUUAGACUUUGGCCACUGCCUGAAACAGCAGAGGUCCUGCUUUUAUGUGCAUGUCCGGAUGUCCUGGGAAAGGAAGGGAAAUUGUUACUUAUGGCAGAAGAAAGCAGUGCUGCUAGCCAUUAUGAGAAUGCUACACUGAAAAUCUUCGUUAUUUCUGAAUUAUCCUCUCAAAUGGACUCCUCAAUGGAGGGAAAGAACACAUCCCAAACGAUCUGAGAAAAAAAAAGGAUCUUUUGUAAGCCAGCUGAGGGGGGUAGUUGCAAGGGGGAGAUAUCUAACAUUUCAAAGGGCUUCCUAGGCAAGAAUAUGCUGCUGCAUCAAGGAAUCUCCCGACGUGGCACACUGGAAUGCAACAGAAUAAUCUGAGUGCCUCUAUGCUCCCCCAGCACCAGCGCUUCUCAGAAGGCGGCCUGGAGACACAGCUCUGUCUGCCUUCCUAUCGCCUCCUCGGCCUGUGCCCCGGCACGAAUCGAUCAGCAGAUCUGGAGUAUGCAACAAAUGCCUCCUUCGGCUGCCAGGCUGGCAUGAGCUAAAAAUGAACAAAUGUAUGAUGCCUUUCAUUUCUUGGAUAGAAGAGUAACAAAAGACGAGAUUCCUUCUCUUGCCCAACUCUACUGCCUAACGAUAGAAGACCGUCCUCUUCCCCGGCUAAGCACACACGCGCCUCUAGCUCACAACUGCUGAUGACAGCAAACAGAAAUAGGAAAAU